GAUAAAUUCAUAUCGGACAUGCCAUUUGAUAUGGCAUCAGAUUCGACAAUGUUGGCUUGGGAUUGCUUCUUAGGUUUGCGACAAUCAACCGAGCGAUGUCCAGCCUUUCCACAAUUGUAGCAAUUGCCCUUGAACUUCUUUGCAUUCUUCUUUGUAGAUUCAACGGAAUGCUUUCUCUUCUUUCCUUUGUUGUUGCUAGAUUCUACCACAUUUGCCUUUGCUUGUGGUAUGCUAUUCCCAACUCGGUUUUCCGAACUUCGGUUGUCUUCUUCAAUCCUCAAUCGGACCACAAGUUCUUCAAUGUUCAUCUCCUUG
rnacentral:lncRNA from 1 species